rnacentral:misc_RNA from 1 species
AAGUCGUAACAAGGUUUCCGUAGGUGAACCUGCGGAAGGAUCAUUCCAAAAAAAACUGUUAAGGGAAGGUGGGGGUCUUGGAUUCUGAAGGGAGACGAACAGUCCCGCUGCCUCCCGAAAGUUUACAUGUCCCCCACGCCUGACGGCCGAAUUACACCUUGAUUAUCCCACACUUGUUGCUUUGGGGGCUCAGUCCCCAGAGGACCCAACUCUCUUGCCAUUUAGUGCGUCUGAGUACUAUUAAUAUUUAAA